rnacentral:rRNA from 1 species
UUCGCCCUUUUCCGGUUGAUCCCGCCGGACCUGACUGCUAUCGGAUUGAUACUAAGCCAUGCGAGUCAUUGUAGCAAUACAAGGCAGACGGCUCAGUAACGCGUAGUCAACCUACCCUAUGGACGGGGAUAACCUCGGGAAACUGAGAAUAAUACCCGAUAGAACACUAUACCUGGAAUGGUUUGUGUUCCAAAUAAUUUAUUGCCGUAGGAUGGGACUGCGGCCUAUCAGUUUGUUGGUGAGGUAAUGGCCCACCAAGACUAUUACAGGUACGGGCUCUGAGAGGAGUGGCCCGGAGAUGGGUACUGAGACACGGACCCAGGCCCUAUGGGGCGCAGCAGGCGAGAAAACUUUGCAAUGUG